GACGUAGGGACCAAGCGUUGUCCGGAAUCAUUGGGCGUAAAGCGCGCGUAGGUGGCCAUUUAAGUCCGCUGUGAAAGUCAGAGGCUCAACCUUUGAAAGCCGGUGGAUACUGGAUGGCUAGAGUACGGAAGAGGCGAGUGGAAUUCCUGGUGUAGCGGUGGAAUGCGCAGAUAUCAGGAGGAACACCAAUAGCGAAGGCAGCUCGCUGGGACGUUUACUGACACUAAGGCGCGAAAGCGUGGGGAGCGAACAGG
rnacentral:rRNA from 1 species